rnacentral:rRNA from 1 species
AGUGACGGUACCUGCAGAAGAAGCGCCGGCUAACUACGUGCCAGCAGCCGCGGUAAUACGUAGGGCGCAAGCGUUAUCCGGAAUUAUUGGGCGUAAAGAGCUCGUAGGCGGUUUGUCGCGUCUGCCGUGAAAGUCCGGGGCUCAACUCCGGAUCUGCGGUGGGUACGGGCAGACUAGAGUGAUGUAGGGGAGACUGGAAUUCCUGGUGUAGCGGUGAAAUGCGCAGAUAUCAGGAGGAACACCGAUGGCGAAGGCAGGUCUCUGGGCAUUAACUGACGCUGAGGAGCGAAAGCAUGGGGAGCGAACAGGAUUAGAUACCCUGGUAGUCCAUGCCGUAAACGUUGGGCACUAGGUGUGGGGGACAUUCCACGUUUUCCGCGCCGUAGCUAACGCAUUAAGUGCCCCGCCUGGGGAGUACGGCCGCAAGGCUAAAACUCAAAGGAAUUGACGGGGGCCCGCACAAGCGGCGGAGCAUGCGGAUUAAUUCGAUGCAACGCGAAGAACCUUACCAAGGCUUGACAUGAACCGGUAAGACCUGGAAACAG